rnacentral:rRNA from 1 species
CCUACGGGCGGCAGCAGUGGGGGAUAUUGCACAAUGGGGGGAACCCUGAUGCAGCGACGCCGCGUGGGUGAAGGAGUGCUUCGGCAUGUAAAGCCCUAUCGGCAGGGAAGAAGCUAGACGGUACCUGACUAUGAAGCCCCGGCUAACUACGUGCCAGCAGCCGCGGUAAUACGUAGGGGGCGAGCGUUAUCCGGAUCCACUGGGGGGAAAGGGAGCGUAGACGGGCAAGCAAGCCAGGGGGGAAAGCCCGGGGCCCAACCCCGGGACUGCCCUUGGAACUGCAUGGCUGGAGUGCGGGAGGGGCAGGCGGAAUUCCUGGUGUAGCGGUGAAAUGCGUAGAUAUCAGGAGGAACACCGGCGGCGAAGGCGGCCUACUGGACCGCGACUGACGUUGAGGCUCGAAAGCGUGGGGAGCGAACAGGAUUAGAUACCCGAGUAGUC